GGUUUUAUAAAUUAUGCAACAGGUUAUGUUUCUUUUUAUUGUUGUGCAACCUAAAGCGCCUUUAUUCCUCUUUGGACAGAGUAAAAAUAUUUUUUGUAAAUAUAUUUUGCAAAAAGAGAGAAAUAGCAAUGAAUAAAUAAAUAAAAAAUACUUUGCACUUUUUACAUACAAAUAUGGGAGGGCAUAGAAACUAGAUUUUAAAGGACUCAAUGGAGGAAUUUUUUUCAAAAUAUUGCAAACAUUAUUUUUUUGGCACAAUUGAUUAAUUCUAGUGAAUUUUUUGGACUGUUUCAUUUUUUUUGCUCUGUUUCAUUAAUUUUGUAUUACGUUUUGGUGGUGCAACAAAUGUAUUAAACUUUCUAACAAGUGGUCUGUUUUGUCUUUCUUCUUUAUACCACAUUACUAUUGAUCCUGCUCCCCACCCUGAGGUCUCCUUGCCUCCACGGAAGACUUGCGCUGCAGCCGUGACUCAUGCGGCUACCACUAAUCGUGCACUCAAAAUGGCAGAGGCCAAAUGCAGUUGGACGCUGGAAGGGGGAUCUGGUGUGCUGCUUAGAUUGGACAAUCUCUAUGAGCAGUUCUAGCAGAGUCUGCAGCACAGGUGCCUCCUACAAUACAAGCUUCCCCAGCAAACUCACCUGCCCAGCCGUCCCGAAGUUCCAGGGACCGACGCUUGGCCACAGGCCCUAUGACGGCCUGUGAGUCGCUUAGCUUGUUUUAUUUCACUGUUUUUAAUUUCUACCUAGACAUGUUUGCCUAACAUGACAACGAUUAUUAUGCUCUGAUUGUAAGCCUGUUUUCACUUGUAUUGUUUCGCACCAUAUGUCAUUGCUAAUUCGUGCAUGUCUCACUGCACUUCCAAAAUAAAAAAUGUAAAGAAAAAGAAAUGUCAGAAAAUUGCAAAAUAGAUUUUAAUAGUUCAUGUGAUUAAUGCCGUGUGUUUGCCAGGAAACACUUGUAACAAAUUCAUUAUUAAAUUAAAGAUAUAUAACAUCCCUUGGCAAAAAAAUUAAAAAUAAACAUGAACUGAUAAAAGUACCUUUCGUUUUUCACAUAGAAGAAAAUGCAUGUUUCCUAAACAAACGGUCGAAUGUCCCUGUUUUUUUUUUUACUUGUAAGUUUACGUGUCAAGCACCC